UUCUUUUAAGGGCAAACUUUUCUAACCCUGAUCUUUUGACAAGAGCAGGGUAGGAGCAAUGGAAUCUGCAGCUAUGCUGCACAUCUCCAGUAGAAAUGUUAGGUGCAGCUAAAGCAUCCCAGAUGGCUCAGUCAUAGGCACAAAAGGCAGCUGGCAGCAAUCUGAGAAGCCUUCAUUUCCAGAGCAUAUCAGUGAGGAAUAUGCCCCUGAGGCUUCCACUUUCCUUUGGGUGUAAAACAUACACUGCUGUUUCCCAAAUUGAUUAUUUUUCCCAGCAGCUUUUCUCGUGUGUCUGUUCCAAUGAAGCACUUCAUGUUUCUUAUACCCCUAUGUGAGCUGCAGUGCUCUGAGAGGGCACAGUGGGAUUUUUUUUUCUAAGGCAACUCAGAAAAUUUGGGUAACACUCAUGUGAGCUUUCAGCAAUGGGCAUAGCUUGGACUGCAUGCUGGGAGCCUCCCCCUAUCCUGCUGAAGGCACUCAGCAAGCCAGAGCCCUGCAUGGCCACAGCACUGGUCUUGCCAUGACGGUACAGAUGGGGUUAUUGCAUGAAAGUGGAAGAGCCUGUCUCAGCUAUACUUCACAAAACUGUCCUAAUUUCUUCAUCAGUUCUUUGCCCAACAGGGGGACACACCAGAGGACAUGCACUGAAUCAGUGGCAGGAACAAGAAUUAAAUCCACAUCUUCUAGUCUUGCUAGUACACAGGCAGUGGAGAAAAGAGCAAGAUAAAGGAUUAAAAAGCAGUGAGACCAGAAGAUGCAUUUCCUUGAUCAAAAUGAGGUGAACAUUUGCCUGGUACCAAACUGCAAAACUGUGUAGCAACCAGAUGUGAACUUGUGCUUCAGACAAAAUCUGAGCAUGCCACAGGCACCAGAGAAAGUGAGAGCAGUGAUAAAUGACACCAAACCUGAGUGAAAGCAGCAGUCAGGUUCUACAGCUGGCUUUUUCCAUGUACGAAUCAGUCUGGAAUGGAAUGAAUGAAGCUGAAUAAAAAAGCACUUAUUUUGUCUGUUUGUUAUUUGAUUAAGCUAUCACCAAGAACUAUUCCUUCAGAAUGCAAAGCUUUUGGAUAAAAAUCGCUACUCUUCUUGACUGAUCUUUUCUCCAAUAAAAAUAUGCUGUGUUACUGAAAACAAAUCAGUGUAAGUGUGUACUCGUUCCUGUAAUAUCUGUUGGCAGUUAUGAAGAAUAUAUUCAAACUAUAAAUUCUAUGUAUUUUAAGUGCCUGAACUAUCUGGUUAUAGUUAUUUACUAAGAAACAUAACUAUAUACAGCAGGAGAAGCAAAAGAUUAGGCAC
ensembl:lncRNA